AGGCUAUAUACAGGGGUACCGGUACAGAGUCAAUGUGGAGGCUAUAUACAGGGGGGUACCGGUACAGAGUCAAUGUGGAGGCUAUAUACAGGGGGGUACCAGUACAGAGUCAAUGUGGAGGCUAUAUACAGGGGGUACCAGUACAGAGUCAAUGUGGAGGCUAUAUACAGGGGGGUACCAGUACAGAGUCAAUGUGGAGGCUAUAUACAGGGGGUACCAGUACAGAGUCAAUGUGGAGGCUAUAUACAGGGGGUACCAGUACAGAGUCAAUGUGGAGGCUAUAUACAGGAGGUACCGGUACAGAGUCAAUGUGGAGGCUAUAUACAGGGGGUACCAGUACAGAGUCAAUGUGGAGGCUAUAUACAGGGGGUACCAGUACAGAGUCAAUGUGGAGGCUAUAUACAGGAGGUACCAGUACAGAGUCAAUGUGGAGGCUAUAUACAGGAGGUACCGGUACAGAGUCAAUGUGCGGGGACACAGGUUAGUCGAGAUAAUCAAGGUAAUAUGUACAGGUAGGUAAAGUUAAAGUGACUAUGCAUAGAUAAUAAACAGAGAGUAGCAGCAGCGUAAAAGAGGGGUCUGGGUAGCCCUUUGAUUAGCUGUUCAGGAGUCUUAUGUCUUGGGGGUAGAAGCUGUUUAGAAGCCUCUUGGACCUAGACUUGGCACUCCGGUACCACUUGCCGUGCGGUAGCAGAGAGAACAAUCUAUGACUAGGGUGGCUGGGGUCUUUGACAAUUUUUAGGGCCUUCCUCUGACACCGCCUGGUAUAGAGGUUCUGGAUUUACA
rnacentral:lncRNA from 1 species